GUGGGGAAUCUUGCGCAAUGGGCGAAAGCCUGACGCAGCCAUGCCGCGUGAAUGAUGAAGGUCUUAGGAUUGUUAAAUUCUUUCACCGGGGACGAUAAUGACGGGACCCGGAGAAGAAGCUCCGGCUAACUUCGUGCCAGCAGCCGCGGUAAUACGAAGGGGGCUAGCGUUGCUCGGAAUUACUGGGCGUAACGGGCGCGUAGGCGGACAGCUUAGUCAGAGGUGAAAGCCCAGGGCUCAACCUUGGAAUUGCCUUUGAUACUGGCUGUCUUGAGUUUGGGAGAGGUGAGUGGAACUCCGAGUGUAGAGGUGAAAUUCGUAGAUAUUCGGAAGAACACCAGUGGCGAAGGCGACUCACUGGCCCAAUACUGACGCUGAGGCGCGAAAGCGUGGGGAGCAAACAGGAUUAGAAACCCGUGUAGUCC
rnacentral:rRNA from 1 species